rfam:Granulicatella elegans ATCC 700633 genomic scaffold supercont2.1, whole genome shotgun sequence.
CUUUAUUUAGUAAGUAUUUGCUAAAUAAUCGACUCUCUAGACUAACGUUAACUUUCGCCGUGAUUGACACCGAAGGCUAGCGUUUUUUU